rnacentral:rRNA from 1 species
GAUAAACGCUGGCGGCGCGCAUGAGAUAUGCAAGUCGAACGAAGGAUCGGGCUUGCUCGAUCCUUAGUGGCGGACGGCUGAGUAACGCGUAGGUGACCUACCCCGAAGUGGGGAAUAACUGCCCGAAAGGGCGGCUAAUACCGCAUGUGGUCGCACGUUCAUUCGUGCGAGUAAAGCCGCAAGGCGCUUCGGGAGGGGCCUGCGUCCGAUUAGCUCGUUGGUGGGGUAAUGGCUUACCAAGGCGACGAUCGGUAGGUGGUCUGAGAGGACGAUCACCCAGACUGGGACUGAGACACGGCCCAGACUCCUACGGGAGGCAGCAGUCGGGAAUUUUGCUCAAUGGGGGAAACCCUGAAGCAGCAACGCCGCGUGAGGGAUGAAGGCCUUCGGGUUGUAAACCUCUUUUGUCAGGGACGAUGAUGACGGUACCUGGCGAAUAAGCCACGGCUAACUACGUG